UGGGACUGUGGCUCAGUGGCAGAGCACCUAUUUGGCACACGGAAGGUUGCGGGUUCAAUCCCCAGCCUCUCCAA
rnacentral:tRNA from 1 species